rnacentral:sRNA from 1 species
AUGGCCUCUCCAAUUAGUUGCCUAUCAAUAUUGAUAAUCCCUCUACUAGUCACCUCUCUUUUCUAUGAUGUUUCUAUUGCAGAUCGAGCCCUUCUUGAAAAGGUUUGCAAAAAGUCCAUGGACUAUGAUUUUUGCAUGUCAACUUUACUUUCAGACCCAGAAGGUCUUACAGAUGUUCUAUAUAGGCUAGGACUCGUUUCUACUUCUGUGAGCUUGAAGGUAAUAUCAGAUGUCAAUGGUGAAAUCGGAAAUACUCUUAUAGGAAACACAAACCCAGUGUAUAGGACUCGAAUUUUGAAUUGCCAAACCGAUAUAGAUGAAGUAUACGAUAAAAUGGAACUUGCAAGAAACGCUGCAGGUACACAAUCCUAUGCGGAAGAGGCAACCAUACUUACAUCUGCACAACAGAAACUUACAGAAUGUAAUAAUCAAUUUGAGAGCUCACCAAUAUCAAAUUACACUUCAAAAAUAGCAAAGGUAAUCAAUAUUUCUUUUGUUAUAAUUUCUAUGAUAACAUCAUCUUAAGAUAUUGUCAACAUAAUCAUAAUAAGAUAUGUGAUCUAUAAUAAGAAUAUGUCUGUUACGGUCCUUGUAGCUAAAUUGCUACCUCCUGGUGUUAUCGUAUAAAAAAUAAAGAUCUGGUUGUAUUAAUAUUUAUUUGUAAUCAUAUCUCUUUCAAUCAAUCAAUAUGGUAUUAUUGCAUUAUAUUCAAUAUUUCUUUGAUGACAUCUUUGUGUUAAUAUUAUUUCUUUUUAUUUAAAUAAUUUUCUUUAUCUUUUUCACUGAUAUACCAUAUUUUAUCACAUAUAUGUGAUGGAUUUAAUUUUUAUAUAUCAUAUAUUUUAAUUAGGAGUGACUUCUGACAAUAUUGAUUCAAAAAAAAGGGACCAUCACUAUUAUAAAUAGGUGACAUGGUCCCUACAAUAUUCAUGCAAAUGUUUGAAAAUAUGGGAAAACAUUUGCAAGAAAUCUGAGGACUAUGGGUCCCUACAAUAUUCAUGCAAAUGUUUGAAAAGAUGGGCAAAUAUUUUUAAGAAAUCUGAGGACUACAACUAAUAUCGUCUUGCCUUACUCUCAAUUGCAAUAAUCAUUGUCAUAGUACAAGCUACGUAUGAUCGAAUCCCAUAAAUCAUAGACAGGGGCUCAGGCGUUGACUGUGAAAGAGCAAGAAUUGAGAAAAAAGAAAAAAAGUUGAGGAGAAUCCAUGUUGAGAAAUGGAUGAUUUGGAGGACCCAAAUAUAGUUUUGAUGGAAGGGAUUGAUAAGGCAAUUGAAGUUCAUCUUGGAGAAGAAGUUGGAUUCAUUUUGGGUUGCAAGCAAGCAUGAAGAGAAGCAACUUCAUCCCCAUGUUAGAAAACAAAUGGAAAAAAAACAUUUCUCAUGUCAAGCUAAAAAAAGGUAAUUCAAAUAUAGAUAGAGUUGUUACCAUAUGUUGGAAAUUAAAGAUAAUUUUCCAACUCAUUUUGAGAUUGUUACCAUAUAUUGGAAAAUGGGAUAGUUUUCUUAAAAAAAUGAUUUUCGGGAAAUGAUUCAUUUUCUGUAAAUUUUAAUAUUUCAAUGGUUUUUCACACUUUCUUAUGUUUAGUAGUAUCUAAAAACAAUGGGUCAAAGGAAAAUUAUGGUUUAACUUCUUUUAUUUAACUUGAAAUGGAACAGAGUUGUUUUCCUUGCCAACCAAUCUUAGUGGAAAAUAACUCUAUCUCAUGCCAACCUAAUAUAUUAUAAAUAUGAAGCCAAAAGAUACAUGAAUCAACAAUAUCAUUCUUGAAAAAGAACUUUAAAAAAAUGGCAUCUCCAAUUAGUUGCCUAUCAAUCAUGAUAAUCCCUCUACUAGUCACCUCUCCUUUCUACGAUAUUUCUAAUUCAUCUCGAGCCCUUAUAGAAAGCGUUUGCAAAAUGUCCAAGGACUAUGGUUUUUGCGUGUCAGCUUUACUUUCAGACCUAGACCGUAUUACAACUGUUCUACAUAGGCUAGGUCUCAUUUCUACUAUUUUGAACUUGGAUGUAAUAGAAGAUGCCCAUGGUGAAUUGGAAAUCAUCUUAUACGACUCAUAGACCCACUAGAUAGGACUCAAAUUUCGAAUUGCCAAACCAAUAUUGAGGAUGUACACGAGAAAAUGCAUCUUGCAAGAAACGCUGCAGGUACACAAUCCUAUGUGGAAGAGGCAACUAUACUUACGGCUGCACAACAAAAAAUUGCAGAAUGUAAUAAUGAAUAUGAGAGCCUCCCAAAAUAUGAAUCACCAAUAUCAAAUUACACUUCCGAAAUAGCAAAGCUAAUCAAUAUUUCUUUUGUUAUAAUUUUAAGAUAACGUCAUCUUAAGAUAUUGUCAACAUAAUCUUAUGUGAUCUAUAAUAAAAAUAGGCCUGUUAAGGUCCCUGUAGCUCAAUUGCUAUCUCUUUAUAUUAUUAAAUAAAAACCUACUUAUAUUAAUACUUUUUUGUAAUCAUUCUCUCUCUCUCUCUCUCUCUCUCUCUCUCUCUCUCUCUCUCUCUCUCUCUCUCUCUCUCUCUCUCUCUCUCUCUCUCUCUCAAUAUGGUAUUAUUGCAUUAUAUUCAAUAUUGCGUUGGUUAUCUUUGUGUUAAUAUUAUUUCCUUUUAUUUAAAUAAUUUUCUUUAUCUUUUUCACUUGUAUACCAUAUUUUAUCUUUUAUAUGUGAUGGAUAUAAUUUUUAUAUAUCAUAUAUUUUAAUUAGAAGUGACUUUUGUCAAUAUUGAUUCAGAAAAAAAAAAAAAAAGGGAACCAUCACUAUUAUAUAUUGGUGACAUGGUCUAAUAUGCCAAAAAUGUAUUGACUCAUUCGGCAAAUUAAUUAUUUAAUUUCCCGAGUGAAUUAAUUAAGUCAAUUAACAUGCAAUAGCGUGAUAGCACAAACAAAUUACCAACUAAGUUAAAUGUAGUAUAAAAUAAAUUUGACACAGGUGAUUUGUUUACGAAUAGGGAAAACCAUAGAAGCAAAACCCUACUGGGUGAAUUUAAAGUCACCACUCCCAAAAAUCUACUAUUUUCAAAACAAACUGUUACAAGUAAAAGGAAUUCCAGAACUUAAUAUCAACCUACAGUUGAACUCUUACCCCAAUACCCAAUUGGACUUGUAUUGUAGCAGCAAUCUCUUCGUUCAAUGCACGACUCCUAGUAUGUGACUAAUCAAUGAUACACGAAUCCCAAUACGUGACUAACACACCAACUUGAGAAGGAUUGUUGGCAUUCAUUCGGAACGCCACGUUAUCCUAUCGGACUUCUCCAAUACUACUCUUCUGAUUGUCAUACACAGGCAGGGUUAGGAAUCUCUGUGUGGGAAACCCAUAAGUUGUCCCUUUGUGAUCAUACAGGAGUUUUACUCCAAUAUGCACAAUUUUGAUUAUUCUAUACCUCGUUUUAUUACUCAUGUACAUGGUACUCAUAUAGUAGUUACUCCGGAGCUUAUCUUCGAGGUACUACAUGUUUCGAGGGAAUUGCAUCCUGAUUACCCCAGAUGUCCAUGUCUGAGGAUUGUCUCCAAAGACGAACUCCUAUCUCUCUUUUGUGAGACGCCUUCUUCAUUGGGUGACUAUCAAAACACCUCAUGCUCGAGCUUUGCAAAAGGUCCGAGGUUCCUGAAUAUGGUAAUGACAUUUGUUCUCCAUCCCUUGUCUCACUAUAAUUCCACUACUAAGCCUCAUGCUCGAUUUUUGUUGUCCCUCAUCGAGGACCGUACUAUAGAUUUUCCCUCUCGUUUUAUUCUCUCCCUUAUAGAUGUCUAUAAGGAUACGACGACCAGUGAUAAGCUUAUCUUUCCUUUUGCUAUCACGUAGAUCAUUCAUCACUCCUCUGUCUCUUAUCCCGAGUCUGCUCAUUUCAUCAUUAUGUGUGCCAUCAGCGUGGUGACUGUUCAAUGGAACGAGGCCUAGCUUCGAUCGAAGCGGCCACGGACCGAGACGACGACUCCUCCAGCCCCUUCUGCUCCCUCCACCUUUGUUCCUUCAUCUUUGAGUGGUGUGUGAUGUUAGCGACCAUCAUGGCAUGGCAUAGCUUAAGUGCAUGGAUGCUCGCCUUGACACUCUUAAUAAUGAGUUGUGUCAGGUGAACACUCGUAUAGUUCGUAUCGCACGACAACAGGCUCGCAUGGGUGGCUUUGUUGUGUCUCCAUCUCCUUUAGCUUCUCCUAAGGCUUUUGAGGACGAGGACAAUGAUGAUGGCUCCGGUGAUGAUGAUGCGAAUGAGGAUGAGGAUGCUAACUCUUCCGGUGACGAGGAGAUGACUGCUUCUCAGUGACUUUCCAUUUGUCUUUCAUGACAAAAAAGGAAAGUAGUUUUGGGUAUAAGAGUAGUCUUGUAUUUAGAGGGAGAGUUAGCAUAGGACAUUUAUGAUAGGGGGAGUGUUUUUUUUUUUUUAAGGAUGUAGUGAGGACUUAUGUAUCUUUUCUUUUCUUUCUCUUUUAGAUACUUUAUCUUUGAGUACAUCAGUCUUGUGACCACUUAGUGAUAGCAAACAUUGUACUUCUUUUCUUAUAUAUAUAUAUAUGAUGUUGUUAUCAUUUUCACCUAUCUCUCCAUAUGUUGUUUCUUUUCUCUCUUUAUACACAUGUUUCUUAUUAUGUAUGCAAUCUUUUAUUUCUGUUUCACACUUAGAUUACUUGAUGAGUUUUGUUUAAAGUGUUUCAGAAAUACAGGUUGUCAAAAUUUUUCAUGCCAUGAACUCUCUUUUUGCAAAUUUUUUCAAGAGUUUGUGUUAGGAUUAGAUUUUAUUGUAUUCAACAAUUGAUUAUGAGUUGAGUGAUAUAUGACUUCUCUCAUAUUUCAUUUGUUUAUUGUGAUUUUGUCACAGAUUGACAAAUGGGAAGAUUGUUAGGACAUAUGUGGAACAUGUUAUGAACAUAUGUCAUAUAGAAUUGGCUAAUGCACUUUACUUGUAAUUGGGUAAAUCUAAGAUGUGUUUAAUAUUUCAAUGAACAAGAGUUCAACUCCAAGUAUUGAAGCCAUGCAAAUCUGUCCAAGAAUUAGGUGAAAAAGUGCUAUUCAUUAAAGCUCGACAGAUAUAUCUAUCAAGAUUUAAUAUUUAAAGCUCAACAGGUAGCUUGACAGUUGUAUCUAUUGAGAAUUACAAAAUUCAGAUUUUCAAAUAUGUUUUUCACGCAUAUCCAAGCUAUAUGUGUAGAGUUUCUUUUUUCACAACUCUAGACAAAUAUAAGGAUUAUUUUAAGUGCCAUCAAACGUGAUGCAACUUGAUGUAAGGUGAUUAUUCACUCAAAUUGUGAUCGGAGACAAUUUACCCUAGUUCAUCUUUCUCUUGUAGAAGCUGCUGCGUUUGUGCGUCAUAGGAUUUUGUAACCAAGGAGCUUCUUGAUCUUUAUCGUGUGGAUAAACUGAAAAACUUUGCAGCCAACAUCCUCCUCAAGUUGGUGUGUUAGUCACGUACUGGGAUUUGUGUAUCGAUUGGUUAGCCAUGUACUUGGAACCGUGCAUUGAAAUGAUAGAUUUUCACUACAUUAUAAGUCCAAUUGUGUCUUGAGGUAAGGGUUCAACUAUAGGUUGGUAUAAGGUACUAGAAUUCCUUUACUUGUAACCGCUUGUUUUGAUAAUAGUGGAUUCUCAGGAGUGGUGACCUUAAAUUCACCCGAUGGGGUUUUGUCUCGAUGGUUUUUCCCAUUCGUAAACAAAUCACCCGCAUCAAAUUUAAUUUCCGCUACAUUAAGUUAUUUGGUGAUUUUUUUUGUGCCACCACGCGUAUUGCGUGUUAAAUUGACUUAAUUAAUUCACUUGGCUAUUUAAUUGGUUAAUUUACCUAAGGGAUCAAUACAUUAUUGGCCUAUCAUGACAUAUUUUAGCUUUUACAAUUAUAUUUUCAUUAUUAUUACUAUUUUGCAACUAUGCAUAAAUAGAAGCUUAAUUCUAAUUUUUUAUCUGAUAAUCUUUUUGUUGGAAAAAUAAAUAUUUGUAUCACAUACAAAACAUACGCAACGAAAAAUUAAUGGAUCUACUUCAUUUGCAAUUGAUAACAUGUACUAUGUAAGUUUCAAAAUUCAAGAACAAGAGAGGGUACGUUGGUGUGGUGAAAUUCAAAACAAAAGAUCAGAAGUACUUAGGAACACUCUUAAUCUUCACUCUAAUUCCACUUUAAGCCCAAGAAGUGUGGUCUCUCAAUUAGUUUUCCAAAGGAGAAUCAGAGAGUGGCUUACACUCAUAUACACACCAUUUCACAAUGAUGUCUCUACAUGAAAUUCUGUAUGUUUCUCCCUUUAUAUCUAACUGAUUAUCUAAUUGGGCUGGCCUUUUGGACAUUUCCAAUUGGGGUUUAGUGUGUGGCUUGAAGUGGGAAUAAGAUAAGACUCUAGCUCCAAUGGGUCUUGAGCUUUUCUGUCAACUCUUGACAAGUCCAAAGUUACUAUUAAUUAUAUUUAAUACCACUAUAUAAAUAUAAUUGCACUCUAGGCCAUUAUAUCCCAAGACUUUAUUGUACAUGCAACUCCUUCAUAAAAUAUUCGUAGUAAUAUAAAGUCAUGAAUGUAGACUGUCACUUUGAAAAUUACUACAUUUUAAUUCUUGAGUACCUGGUUUAAUCCUUUAUAUUAUUCAUCAUAUAUUUAUGAAAUCCAAUUUCAUAAAUAUAUACUUUAAUAUCUCCUUACUAAAGUGGUUACUCCUAACAUUCUAAAUAACCAAACCCAUUAAAUUUAUCUCAAGAGAAUAUUUUGUAUCUCCGUUAAAAGAUUAUAAAUUCUAUCUUGAAAUAUAUGUUCCAUCAACACUAAAUGUGGCUGCCCAACAUACUGAGGUUUUGAUUGUGACUUUUACUCUCACUCUUGAUAUAUCAAAGUAACGUACACUUCAUGAUCAGGUUCAUUAUUCUCUCAAGAUUAAGAGUUCAUGUAAAUAGAAGUAGUGAGAUUUAUUAUUCGUUUGACAGUCAUUAGGAGAAUAAUAAAUCUCACAGUGAUCCAGUUCAAUAUAUUUUAACUCUUAAAACAUAUCAGCAUAUCAACUAGAAGUCUCCACUUCCAUGAUCAAGACAAAUCAUCUUAGUUGACAUGUUAUAGUCUUCACAGAUGAAAUGUCCAAUUUCAUCAUCGACUACGAACUACAAUUCUGAGUUUACAAAUAACUUGUGAUCUAUAUCUUUUGUGACUAAAUCACAUAAAUCACAUUAUAUGUAUCUCCUAGACUAUAUGAUAAUGUCCAAUAUUCAUGUUACCAUCAUUUUAGAUAAUAAUAAAACAACUUUAUUAAUCACAACAUUAAGUCAUACCUAAUGUCAUACAUAGCAUCAUACAAUAGGAUUUAAGAGCACUAAUCUGAACACUUUUGGGGUAGAUGAAUUUGUAAUUUCCACAAAGAAAAUAACCUCAAUAGAUUAUCAACAACAAAUUAUUUUUCCUAUCCCAAAAAAAAAAAAAAAAUUUUAUUUUCCUAAUUGGUCCAAUUAAUCAUUGUUAAGUUUUAUUAAUUUUUUAGAUAUGUUUUUCAGAGUUUUAGAUUGAUGGGUAUAAAAAAUAGGGUUUGAAAAAGUUUGUUUAAAACUAAAAGAAUAAUUUCUAAAUUUUAUAUACUUUUUAAUGAUACACAAAAUGUUAAAUAUAAAUUUUAUUAAAAAAAAAUGAAUAUGUUCGCUGUCUUGCCUUUGGAAUUCCUAUAAAAAAAUGUAUAGAUUCUUAGAAACUUUCUUCUAUUCCUUGACUUCUAUAUCACUAUAUUCUAAUCCGUAUGCCCAAAAAUCCCCAUGAAACUUUUUUUUUUUUUAAUCUUAUUUUUCCUUUGGAUCAUUUGGAACAAAAGUUAUAAGGAAAGGAUCCAUUAAAUUAUAAUAAAUUUUGAACUUAAGAUCAAAUUCAAAUUUAGUGAUCAUACACGUUAUACACUUAUAUGACAAGGAGUUGUACGGGAGAAGCUGUUGGGAAAUACAUGUUUGUAUCGCAUACAAAACAUACGCAGCGGAAAAUUAACAGAUCUACUUCAUUUGCAGUUGUUAACAUAUACUAUGUAAAUUUCAGAAUUCAAGAAUAAGAGAGCGUACCUUGGUAUGAUGAAAUUCAAAACAAAUUAUCAGAAAUACUUUGGAACACUUUUAAUUUUCACUCUAAUUCCACUUUACGCUCAAGAAGUGUGGUUUCUCAAUCAGUUUCCAAUGGAGAAUAGUGGAGUGGCUUUCACUCACAUACACAUCAUUUCACAAUAGUGUUACACACUCAUAAAAUUUUGUAUUGUUCUCCCUUUGUAUCUAACUGAUUAUCUAAUUGGGCUGGCCAUUUGAACAUUACCAAUUGGGCUUUAGUGUGUGGCUUGCAGUGGGACCAAAAGGGAACAAAUAAGACUCUAGCUCCAAUGGGCCUUGGGCUUUUCUGUCAACUCUUGACAAGUCCAAAGUUACCAUUAAUUAUAUUUAAUACCACUAUAUAAAUAUAAUUACACUCUAGGCUUUAUUAAUAAAUUAUAUCACAAGACUUUAUUGUACAUGCAACCCCUUCAUAAAAUAUUCGUAGUAAUACAAAGUCAUAAAUGUAAACUAAGACUGCCACUUUAAAUAUUACUACAUCUUAAUUCUUGAGCACUUGACUUAAUCUUUUAUGAAUAUAUGUCAUUGCAAUUUCCUAAAAUAUUUUUUGUUAGUCUUAACUAGCAAAUAAAUAGAUACCUAUGUACAAACCUCAAAAACAAAAGCAAAAAUGCAAAACCCUCCUCAAAACCUCACGCUCGCACUCUCUCUCUCAAAAACCCACUUCCCUCUUAUCCCCUAUUUUCUUCGCUUCCCCCAAAUCCAAUGCCCCAAUUCUCUCAAAACCCAUUUCUCUGUUCACUGCUCUGCUCGAGCAGGAGCAGGAGGAGGACGAGGACGAGGUCGAGGAGGCAAGAAGAAGCAGCCGAAGAAGCAAGGAGGCAGCGGUUCAGGAGGCCGCAUAGAGGGAGACGCCGCGUUCCGGCGAGCCAUAAAGGAAGGCGCCCGCGAUAAAAGCAGGAAGAUGGCAGAGACCCGAUUCCUCCGCCGCAACAGCGACAAGAACAACAAGAGCCUUAACCACGCCGACCAUUUCACCGAAGACGAGCUUCAAGAGAUUGGCUUGGGCUACGACCGUAUGGUUCGAUUCAUGGACAAAGACGACCCCAAUCUCCGACACCCAUAUGACUGGUACAAGUAUGGCCAGUACGGCCCUUACUCCUGGCGUGGUGUUGUCGUUGGCGACCCCAUUCGCGGCCGCUUUUCGGACGAGCGUGUCACUUUGAUCAGUGAAGUCAGGGACCAGGAAGAGUGGGAGAAGAUUGAGCAGUUUGAAAUGGCUACGGAUUUCGGUAAGAGAUUGAAGGAAAUGGAAAAUAAUGUCAAAAUUGAUAAUAAUACUGAUAGUAUUAAAGGGUUUUUUAAGCAUUUCUGGGUGUUUGUGAGGCACCCCAAAUGGAGAGUUAAUGAAUUGCCUUGGGAACAAUGGACUUUGGUGUGUGAGGUUGUGGUGGAAGCCCCAAAAGGAAGGUUGGAUAAGUGGAGUUUGAUGGGUAGGUUUGGGAAUAAGGCGAGGUCUCUUAUAACGCAAUGUGCGGCAUGGAUGAGGCCUGAUAUUCUGUAUGUUAAGAGGCCGGUGUAUCAGUCUCGGUUUGAGCCUCAGGAGGAUUUUUUUAAGGGGUUGAUGCCGUUAUUGGAUCCGAAAACGGAGAGGCAGUACUUGUUUGAGGUGAGGAAUGAGGAUGGGAGUGUUGAGGCUUGUACUUAUUUUGGUGGAUUGUGUAAGAUCCUGAGGGCCAAUCCCAAAGCGUUUGUGGAUGAUGUGGUGAACAAGUAUGAGAAGUUGAGUGAUGAGAGGAAGUCCGAGUGUUUGGAAUUUCUGUUGAGUAAUCAUCCAACGCAGAACUUGUUGCAUCCGUAUACUAAGGAGUGGAAAGCAAAGUUGGAGGAGAUGGAGUUGGGGUGUGAUGCCCCGGAUGAUGAUGAGGAUGGGCUCAGCAGUAAUGCAGGUGAGACUGAGGUUGUAGAGUGGAUUGAGGAUGAUGGUAAUGACGAGGAGGAGGAGGAUGAAUGCAUUGUUGAGAAUGAUGAUGACGAUGAUAUAGUUAUGGAUUCAGAAGAAGGUGGAGAUGAUGAAUCUGGUAUUGAAGAAGAGGAUUUAAGUAUAGAAGAGGAUAAGAAGUUUUGGGAGGAGGAGUUUCGAAAGGCAGUGAGCAGCGCGGAUGCAAUGGAGAAGUUAGCAAAACGGAGUGUCGAAGUGUCAAAUAAGUUCUAUAAGGAGCAGUUGAGGGAAAUGGAAUCACAGAAAAAGGGAAAAGUUAAAAACAUUUCAGAAGAUGGAGAUGAAACUGCACUGAGGGGCAAAUGGCCAAAAGUGAGUCCAGAGGAAUGGAAGCGUGUUGGGUAUGGUCCAUGGAGAAAAAGGAUUAAGAAGAGUAAAAUUCCUCCGGAGUUGUUUUUGCGAGCUGCAGUAAGACCAUUUACUUACAGAAAUCUUGUAAAGGAGAUUGUUUUGGUGAGGCAUGGAAUUGUAGAUGGUGAUUUUAGUUGGAAAGAAUAAAGUUUUAGCCUUUUGUUGUUCAUAUUGUUACUGUGUAAAUUGUCUGUUCAAUCUCUGAAUUUUGAAGGAAGCUAGAAGCUUGAGUGGUUUAUUUACCUUUUGAGCUAUGUGGUUAGUGCCAGUUAACGCAGGUUUGAUCAGUGUUUUUUUUUUUUCUCCAUAAUUUUGGAAAUUUUUACUAGUUAAUUGGUAUGUUUUUCUUGAGCUCUGUACUCUCUAUGUAUCUAGUAAAGUUUAUUUCUAGAGUAUUUUUCUAUGACCCUAAUACCAUGCAACAAGUUGACACCCUUAAGAAUGGACUAUGUUGGACAUUCUUGUUUUAGAUGAUUUUGGGGCCUGCAUUUUACCAAGUAAUAGAGGAUUUGGCAUGAACCAGACAAUAAUCUUUGUUGAUCGGUUGUAUGAUUGUUAUCUAGUAUCUGUGUGCAAAACCCAAAGCCUCUUAAUACUUAUAAUGUAUGUAAGCAUCAUUUUGCUGACAUGAUUUGAUCCUUUUACACUGCUGUCUUGAAUACGAGUACAACACUAGAACCCCUCUCCGUCUCUCUCUCUCUCUUUGGCAUUCAUGGAUUUUGUUAUAUGAUUUAAGAUACUUGAUGAAUGAUGAUCCCUCUCUUUGCAGCUUUCAAUUCAAAACAAAGGCAUUAUCUGUCAAAGAUUUUAUCAGCACUGA